UACGGAGGGUGCAAGCGUUAAUCGGAAUCACUGGGCGUAAAGCGCACGUAGGCGGCCCGCUAAGUCAGAUGUGAAACCCCUGGGCUCAACCUGGGAAUGGCAUUUGAUACUGGCAAGCUCGAGUCCGAGAGAGGGGGGUGGAAUUCCAGGUGUAGCGGUGAAAUGCGUAGAUAUCUGGAGGAACACCGGUGGCGAAGGCGGCCCCCUGGCUCGUGACUGACGCUGAGGUGCGAAAGCGUGGGUAGCAAAC
rnacentral:rRNA from 1 species